rnacentral:misc_RNA from 1 species
GAAGUGCGAUAAGUGUCAUGACUUGCAGAUUCUCGAGAACUGACAAGUUUCUGAAUGCAAAUUGCGGUAGGAACUUAAUCAUCCUACCAUGUAUUGCAGAGUGUAGUAAUGAUGAUUCGUCAUCCAUCGAUCUCUAUGUGUCUCUGUCUCUCUCCUUACCGAGUGUGACGGAUUGUAUAGAGAUGUAGAUGGGAUCUGCGCUUAUGAGACCUCCAUGAGCGUCAAAUGGCUGUAUAUUGACCUUGAUAUAUACACAUCAAAGCCCUCGAUCUAUCGUGCGUGCCUCUGUUUGUAUAUAUACCACAUCAUUCUUCUACAGGAGAGAUGGAUGGAGUGUGUCUGGGUGCUCUCGCCCUCUCUCAUUCCAUCUCUCUCUCUCUUUCUCUUUAACCACCUCUGC